rnacentral:rRNA from 1 species
AGAGUUUGAUCCUGGCUCAGGAUGAACGCUGACAGAAUGCUUAACACAUGCAAGUCUACUUGAAUUUGGGUUUUUAACUUAGGUUUGGGUGGCGGACGGGUGAGUAACGCGUAAAGAACUUGCCUCACAGCUAGGGACAACAUUUAGAAAUGAAUGCUAAUACCUAAUAUUAUGAUAAUAGGGCAUCCUAUAAUUAUGAAAGCUAUAUGCGCUGUGAGAGAGCUUUGCGUCCCAUUAGCUAGUUGGAGAGGUAACGGCUCACCAAGGCGAUGAUGGGUAGCCGGCCUGAGAGGGUGAUCGGCCACAAGGGGACUGAGACACGGCCCUUACUCCUACGGGAGGCAGCAGUGGGGAAUAUUGGACAAUGGACCAAGAGUCUGAUCCAGCAAUUCUGUGUGCACGAUGAAGUUUUUCGGAAUGUAAAGUGCUUUCAGUUGGGAAGAAAAAAAUGACGGUACCAACAGAAGAAGUGACGGCUAAAUACGUGCCAGCAGCCGCGGUAAUACGUAUGUCACGAGCGUUAUCCGGAUUUAUUGGGCGUAAAGCGCGUCUAGGUGGUUAUAUAAGUCUGAUGUGAAAAUGCAGGGCUCAACUCUGUAUUGCGUUGGAAACUGUAUAACUAGAGUACUGGAGAGGUAAGCGGAACUACAAGUGUAGAGGUGAAAUUCGUAGAUAUUUGUAGGAAUGCCGAUGGGGAAGCCAGCUUACUGGACAGAUACUGACGCUGAAGCGCGAAAGCGUGGGUAGCAAACAGGAUUAGAUACCCUGGUAGUCCACGCUGUAAACGAUGAUUACUAGGUGUUGGGGGUCGAACCUCAGCGCCCAAGCAAACGCGAUAAGUAAUCCGCCUGGGGAGUACGUACGCAAGUAUGAAACUCAAAGGAAUUGACGGGGACCCGCACAAGCGGUGGAGCAUGU